GUUGAUCUAUCCAGGUACGCAAUACAUAAUCGAGUAAUUACCACAUUUAAUCUUUUGAUUAAAUCUGGCACCGAUCCCACUGUAAAACACCGGCACCGGCUAUGCCUGUCGUGUGCACCUAGUGCGCACAUACCUUCAGCUUAUGACAGUGCUUGAUCCAGGUCACUAUUUGGCGAGCGCUGUGGGACCACCCACGAUAAAUUAACAGGGAAAGAUUGCGAAAGCAAGUUGGACUAGCCAAAUGCCUCGUCAUCUAAUUAGUGACGCGCAUGAACGGAUCAACGAGAUUCCCACUAGAGAAACCACAGCCAAGGGAACGGGCUUGG
rnacentral:ncRNA from 1 species